GGGACUCCUUGCCCCCCGCCCACCCGCGAUCCGGCCCCACCACAAGGUGAGAUAUUUUUAAUUUAUUUUUUUUACAGGCAGCGCCUUGGCCACCCGACAGGGGCUGGGUUGCCUAGCAACGGCGGGGUCCUUCGUGGCUCGGCGGCUCUCCGGGCCUCAGGGGGAGAAAACCGCCGCUGAGGAAAUCUGGGGGCCCGGCGGAGGCCGCGGUGCGGGAGGCGGCAACUGGACUGCAACGCGGGGCGGGGCGGGGCGGAGCGGGGCGGGGAGGGGGAGGAGGAGGGGGAGGUUGGCGCGCGCCCGGGAGCCCGGCCUCUGCCUCCGAGGAGAGAUGAAUACGGCCCUAACCCGGGUGGGCCCCGCGGCCGAGCGGCCCGCGCCGCCCGAGGAGGUGGAGGGCUCUGAGGCGGUCGGGAAGGAGCCGGCGGCGGACGCGGCCCCAGGGCCCAGCACGGCGUUCCGCCUCCUGGUGACUCGGCGGGAGCCGGCGGUGAGGCUGCAGUACGCGGUGAGCGGCCUGGAGCCGCUGGCGUGGUCCGAGGACCACCGCGUGUCGGUGUCCACGGCCCGCAGCAUCGCUGUGCUGGAACUCAUCUGCGACGUGCACAACCCGGGCCAGGACCUGGUUAUCCACCGCACAUCGGUGCCCGCGCCUCUCCACAGCUGCUUCCUCAAAGUUGGCUCAAAAAGGGAAGUUGCUGAGUGUAAACAGAGAUUUGCCACCUCUGAAGACCCCACAGUCAGUCAGACUUUCAUGUUGGACAGGGUGUUCAACCCUGAGGGGAAGGCUCUGCCACCACUGAGAGGGUUCAAGUACACUAGCUGGUCCCCCGUGGGCUGUGACGCUAAUGGCAGGUGCCUCUUGGCCGCACUGACCAUGGACAAUCGCCUGACCAUCCAGGCUAACCUCAACAGACUGCAGUGGGUCCAGCUGGUGGAUCUGACAGAGAUUUAUGGAGAGCGUCUCUAUGAGACCAGCUACAGGUUCUCCAGAAAUGAGGCCCCGGAGGGCAAUCUCAGGGAUUUCGCUGAGUUUCAGAGGCGUCACAGCAUGCAGGCGCCGGUCCGGAUGGAGUGGUCAGGCAUCUGUACCACCCAGCAGGUCAAGCACAACAAUGAGUGCCGCGACGUGGGCAGUGUGCUCCUGGCUGUCCUCUUUGAAAACGGGAACAUUGCCGUGUGGCAAUUCCAGCUCCCGUUUGUUGGAAAGGAGUCUAUUUCUUCAUGCAACACGAUUGAGUCAGGAAUCAACUCUCCUAGUGUUUUGUUUUGGUGGGAAUACGAGCACAACAAUCGGAAAAUGAGUGGCCUUAUUGUGGGGAGUGCUUUUGGGCCUGUAAAAAUCCUUCCUGUCAAUCUUAAAGCAGUUAAAGGCUAUUUUACCUUAAGGCAGCCUGUCGUCUUGUGGAAAGAAACAGACCAGUUGCCAGUCCACAGCAUCAAGUGUGUGCCGCUGUACCACCCUUACCAGAAGUGCAGCUGUAGCCUAGUGGUGGCCGCACGAGGAUCCUAUGUGUUUUGGUGUCUUCUCCUGAUCUCCAAAGCAGGUCUGAAUGUUCACAACUCUCAUGUCACAGGCCUGCACUCCCUGCCAAUCGUCUCCAUGACUGCCGACAAGCAGAAUGGGACGGUGUAUACCUGCUCCAGUGACGGCAAGGUGAGGCAACUGAUCCCCAUUUUCACAGAUGUGGCGUUGAAGUUUGAGCACCAGCUGAUUAAACUCUCCGAUGUGUUUGGCUCCGUGAGGACACACGGGAUAGCCGUGAGCCCCUGCGGCGCAUACCUGGCCGUCAUCACCACUGAGGGCAUGGUCAACGGCCUCCAUCCCGUUAACAAAAACUACCAGGUUCAGUUCGUUACUCUCAAAACCUUUGAAGAGGCAGCUGCUCAGCUUCUGGAGUCUUCUGUCCAGAAUCUCUUCAAGCAGGUAGAUUUAAUAGACCUAGUACGGUGGAAGAUUUUAAAGGAUAAGCAUAUCCCUCAAUUUUUACAUGAAGCUUUGGAAAAAAAGAUUGAAAGCAGUGGGGCCACCUAUUACUGGCGUUUCAAGCUCUUCCUCCUGAGGAUUUUAUACCAGUCGAUGCAGAAAACCCCUUCAGAAGCCUUAUGUAAACCCACUCAUGAGGACUCAAAAAUCUUACUAGUUGACUCACCUGGGACGGGCAAUGCUGAGGAUGAACAGCAGGAGGAAGGCACUUCUUCCAAACAGAUUAGUAAGCAAGGCAAAGACGGUGAUCCAGAGGACCCCACAGAGGACUCACUCCCUCAAUCUGGGGAUACUGGAGGCCGAGAGCCAAUGGAAGAGAAACUCCUUGAAAUCCAGGGAAAAAUUGAAGCAGUGGAAAUGCACUUGACGAGGGAGCACAUGAAGCGAGUCCUGGGCGAAGUGUACCUACACACCUGGAUCACAGAAAACACUAGCAUCCCCACCAGGGGACUCUGUAACUUUCUGAUGUCUGACGAGGAAUAUGAUGACAGAACCGCACGGGUGCUGAUUGGACACAUCUCAAAGAAGAUGAACAAGCAGACCUUCCCUGAGCACUGUAGUUUGUGUAAGGAGAUCUUGCCCUUCACAGAUCGCAAGCAGGCCGUCUGCUCCAAUGGCCACAUUUGGCUCCGGUGCUUUUUAACCUACCAGUCCUGCCAGAGUUUGAUAUACAGACGGUGUUUGCUCCAUGACAGCAUCGCUCGCCAUCCAAUUCCAGAAGACCCUGACUGGAUCAAGAGGUUACUACAAAGCCCCUGCCCUUUCUGCGACUCUCCUGUCUUCUGAGUGUCCGUGGUGGGAAGACAGAGAGUGUCGUCCAGCCCGAAGAGCUGGGACACGCUGGCGCAAGCCUGGCCUCCACGAGUGGAAAGGUGCCCUUGUGAUGGUCAGUAAGCCUGGGAACUCCCUGCUGAAGUGUGUCCUCCAUCUCCAGGGACUACAGGAUAUCUGUAAAGUGGCUGUGUACAGAGAUCCUAAGUCAUUUUGAGAUGAACGUUAGCCUCCACUCCUUACCACUUAUUUUUCAAGUGUUGAAGUGUCUUGACUAGAGCAGUUGGGACACAACGGAUGCCCUGUUGUUUCCUAACAGAAUGACCUCUUCUAGGGAGUGUGGGUGAGGGCCUCGCUGGGCGAAUUGGGUGUUAAUCCUGGCCAAGUGGCUCCAGGAGGCUUUAGUUGCCGGGUGCAUGGCACACAGUGUCCAGCAGAUACUCAGAUGUCUAACACAAUAUGUGGGCCUGAUAUUUUGUUCUCAACAAAUAGCUUCAGAUCUGUAUCCCACCAGUUUUUUUUCGUGCGUAUUGAAACCAUUUUCUUAAAACUAUAUAUUUUUAAGAGGUUAAAGCCAAGACUAAAGUUAGUUGUAAUGUGUCGGAAGAUCAGGUGACUCUUGUAAUUGUGACUUAUUUUUUAACGAUAUCUCCCGUGUCGUCAGUUCUGCCUCAACUCCUCCAUGUAUAUGAGGGUGUCAUAGUAUUCCCGUUCACCUGCCUCACACCUCUCAUCAGACUUAACUGUGCUGACCAGGUGAGAUGUUUGUACAUAGAGGAAAAAGAAUAUUUUCUCCUUUAUUUUCUCCUAGUAUUAAAACCCUUACUAUUUUUCAUGUUGACAUGUCCAGACGUCUCAUUUCUAUCCCAAGUCUGUCUAGAGACUUCUAAAGAGAGCUGGACAGCUCAGAAUGUGGACCCUUGAGCCUUGGUGCUAUGGUGUAUGUGGCUGGGUCGACCAGAGCCUGGGAAUGCCUUCUCCUCUGCAAAGAUCCUUGAUAUUUAUAACACAGGUAUUUUUCUGUGGGCUGUUAAGAGAUGUUAGACUUUAAUUGGUCUUAAAACCUGAAAUCAAAAAUAGACAUUCUAGAAGUACAGUGUUCUUGGAUUUUUAAAUAAGUAUCCGAGGGAUUGGUGCUAAUUAAUAGGACUGUAAUGCCCGCACCUUGAAAAGGUGCGUAUUUCUGAGAAGUCGAAUAGGAAAUACAAAAUGUGAAAUUUAACUCAUACUAACACUUCUUCCUUCUUUCAUUUUUGUAUCCUUAGUGAAAGACUUGCCCUCGCCGAGUAGUUAGUUGGACAUGACUGAGCGACUAAGCACAGCACAGCACAUAUUGAAUUAAGUCAGAUUUGCAGAGUUGCUUCUAAUGACCACUCACCACAGGACACGGUUUUAACAUCCAUCCCCCCACCCCCCACAGCCUCUUUGAUUAGGUGAUUCAGCUUUUCUUGUCUUGCUUUUUUUUUUUAAGUUGUAACUAUACUCCAGGGGAGAGACUUAAUAUAGGAUCUGAGAUCCUAGACAGUGAGUUUAUUUAGCACAGUAUUAGUGGCUUCCCUGCAUGGUAUUCAUUCGUUCAUUCCAGGCUUGGGAGGAGCCGCAAAAGCAGGGAAUGAUGGUACUUUCAUACUGAUAUGAUAAAGUGAAGGUGCAGGCUCUCUAGUGGAAAUACUGUUAAUGAGUUGGCUGGAUUGAAUUUCAAAACUCUAAAUCUUGUAAUUUUUUCUAAGGUAAAAACUUGCUUAUGUCACUAUCAUGAGAUCCUGGUAGUUUCAUAAAAAGGUCCCAUGAAGUGGUCUCAUUGGAUGGUAUAAGAGGUGGUGGCUUUGAAGCAUUUUGUAUUUUAUCAGUUUGACAUUUGGAUAAUAGAUUGGUGAGAUCAAGGGUGUUUUGUUUUUGGUACUAAUGCAAAAUUAAAUGCAAAAAUGAAUUAUGACUUUUUAAAGACUUUGACACAGAUUUGUACUUCAGUGUAUGAAAGGAAAGUGAAUAUCAAAUUUGUGUAUACAGAAAUAAGACUAUAGGAAAAUAAGUCUGUGUUGUGUAUAGUGGUAUAUAUAUUUUAUGUUUAUCCUAUGCCUGUGCUAUCUUUGUGCUUGGCUUCAAACUAUGUGUUUGUUUACAUGCAAUAUUUUUUGAAAUAAAAAGAACAGGCAUCCAAAAACUUGGGUUAUAGAAAGGAGACUUUUUAAAAUUCUUACCAUCUGACUAGGUGGUGUGUUUUAGACUUUUAGCGUGUAAGUAAAACAGCCUUGAGACUGAAUAGCACAUUUUGCUUGGAAUACCCCCAUCCAGAGGAAUCCACUGCUUCUCUGCACUGUACAUAUGUACAUAGUGUCCACUAUUAGAUUGUAAGCUCCUCGAGGGCAGGAACCGUCGUCUCGUCUUGGGAGUUCCUGCAGCGCUGAGUGUGAAGUGCCUUGCACAGUGUAGGUGCUGGUGACACGGAGGAGUGAGCAGCUUCCUGCUACCUUGAUGACGAAGCUUGGUUUACUUUCUCCACUGUGUUGAGAACUGCAAAGUACUAAUGAUGGGAAGAGGGCAAAAUCUUUUCUUGGAUUUCAGCUGGGUCUCCUGAGCUGAAGCAGACCAUACUGUCUCCUUGGCACUAGUCAUCUUCUUGCUCUGAAGAUAUACUAAGUGUCCUGAGCUUUUAUACGAUAAAAGGGCAGAGGUCUCUGGGCAGAGUUUGAAGUGGGAAAGAUUAUAGAAAAAAUGAAGUGGAAAUUUUGGAGGGUGUUUUGUCAAAUGCAGUCCUGUGGGGCAAUCUUACUUCAGUUAUUACUAAAGGAAAGGAUAGCAAUUCUCUUUCUUUACCAGUUAGCUGGUUGGCCAAUUUUCCAGUUAAUGAAGAUCAUUGGUUUUUUUUGGUUUUUUUUUAACUUUUUCCCAUUUUGGAUUCCCCCCUCAAUUGCUCUUUAUGAUUCUAGUACUUAGAGUCGAUUAAAGUUGCUGUGAAUAUCCAGUGCUGUACAUAAUGGCAGUUUUGUAAAUGUGAAAUAACCUCAAUUAUGUUGUGUUUUGUAUGCAGAGCCACUAGUAUUGUUAUCUUGGCCACUUUUUUUAUUCAAAAUAAAUAAAAUAAUCAAGUUAUUUGUA